ACACAUGCAAGUCGAACGAAGCUUGACGGAUGAUUUCUUCGGGAUGAAACCAGAUAUGACUUAGUGGCGGACGGGUGAGUAACACGUGAGCAACCUGCCUUUCAGAGGGGGAUAACGGCUGGAAACGGUCGCUAAUACCGCAUGAUGUGUUCGGAUGGCAUCAUCUGGACAUCAAAGAUUUAUCGCUGAAAGAUGGGCUCGCGUCUGAUUAGAUAGUUGGUGGGGUAACGGCCUACCAAGUCUACGAUCAGUAGCCGGACUGAGAGGUUGAACGGCCACAUUGGGACUGAGAUACGGCCCAGACUCCUACGGGAGGCAGCAGUGGGGAAUAUUGCACAAUGGGGGAAACCCUGAUGCAGCAACGCCGCGUGAAGGAUGACGGUUUUCGGAUUGUAAACUUCUUUUCUUAGUGACGAAGACAGUGACGGUAGCUAAGGAAUAAGCAUCGGCUAACUACGUGCCAGCAGCCGCGGUAAUACGUAGGAUGCAAGCGUUAUCCGGAUUUACUGGGUGUAAAGGGAGCGCAGGCGGGACUGCAAGUUGGAUGUGAAAUACCGUGGCUUAACCACGGAACUGCAUCCAAAACUGUAGUUCUUGAGUGAAGUAGAGGCAAGCGGAAUUCCGAGUGUAGCGGUGAAAUGCGUAGAUAUUCGGAGGAACACCAGUGGCGAAGGCGGCUUGCUGGGCUUUAACUGACGCUGAGGCUCGAAAGUGUGGGGAGCAAACAGGAUUAGAUACCCUGGUAGUCCACACUGUAAACGAUGAUAGCUAGGUGUGGGGGGUCUGACCCCUUCCGUGCCGGAGUUAACGCAAUAAGCUAUCCACCUGGGGAGUACGACCGCA
rnacentral:rRNA from 1 species